rnacentral:rRNA from 1 species
UUACGGUCAAAUCACGCUGAAACACCGGUUCUCGUACGAUCACCGAAGUUAAGCAGCGUAGAGCCAGGUCAGUAAUUAGAUGGGGGACCGCUUGGGAACACCUGGUACUGUAAG